rnacentral:lncRNA from 1 species
CUCACAGCCCUUUCCCGCUUCCUGGGCUGUCGGUAGCCGCGCUUUCUUUCUGCGCGUAGAUCGUUAAGUUCUUUAGACUCGGAAAAAUAUUGAGACCGAUGUGGACACUGAGCCGAGUUUUUCUGUUGUUCUCAGUCCUUCAGCUUUUAGAAGAGUAAAUCCGAAAUGUCUGGGAUGCUUUGAGAAGCGUCCUCCUACAAGGAGUGUCUGUCGGGGUUUAGAAAUGCUGGUAACAGAGCAGCCGCCUCUAUGUCCUCCUAUCUAUACCCAGACCAAUGGGGAAGGUCCUGAGGGUGACUUUCUUCUCUUUUCUAGCUCCCAGACAUUAAGGGACAGCAGAUAUAAUUAAUGCAAUGCUAAAUGAGAGUCAGCAAAUGUUAUUGUAGGAGUUGGUAGGAGUGUGGUAUUCAUACCAAGUGUGCCAAUCCCUAUAAAAGGGCUGAACAGGAGACUUAUUUAAAGAGAUUAAAUGAUGCAGAAUAAAGCUUCCACAAGCUGUAAUUGAAAGUGACAGAAACAUUAGCUUUGAAACAAGUAACAUUUAAUCACACAGAUCAUACAGAAACAUAAUUUUUGUAUGUUGUUUUCUUCAAUGGAAUUUAAUUUUAAUCUGUUGAGACAGCUCAUCACUUUCAGCUGCCUACUGCCAGAGGCCUGUCAGGGUAUGUAAAUGGAGUGGCUAUGACGAGGAACGGGACCUGCUCACUCCAACGCCGGCCAUAAGUUCUGCAUGCCUAAAAUUUCAGGAAGGUCACAUCAAUAGGUCAGCAUGGCCAGAGUUUCAGAAAACAAAGAUAUUUCGUAAGAAGAGGAAUUAAUUCCAGCUCACAGUGAGAACAUUACAAGAGAAGCAAGUUCAUUGUGAAGGGCAAUCAGAUAGAUCCUGACCUCCUGAAUUUGGAAGAAGCCAGAAUGUCAUUGUUCUUUAGUGGGAAGAGAAUUAGACCCAGAAGAUCUGCUGUGGACAUU